rnacentral:rRNA from 1 species
UACGGGGGGUGCGAGCGUUGUCCGGAAUCACUGGGCGUAAAGGGCGCGUAGGUGGCGUGAUAAGGGUGUGGUGAAAGUCCGGGGCUCAACCCCGGAUCUGCCGUGCCGACUGUCAAACUCGAGGGCUGUAGAGGCAGACGGAAUUCCGGGUGUAGCGGUGGAAUGCGUAGAGAUCCGGAGGAAGACCGGUGGCGAAGGCGGUCUGCUGGGCAGUUUCUGACACUGAUGCGCGACAGCGUGGGGAGCAAACAGG